rnacentral:rRNA from 1 species
UACAGAGGUCCCAAGCGUUGUUCGGAUUCACUGGGCGUAAAGGGUGCGUAGGUGGUUAGGUAAGUCCGAUGUGAAAUCUCCAGGCUCAACCUGGAAAUGGCAUUGGAUACUAUCUAGCUUGAGGAGUGGAGGGGGGACUGGAAUUCUCGGUGUAGCAGUGAAAUGCGUAGAUAUCGAGAGGAACACCAGUGGCGAAGGCGGGUCUCUGGGCCGAUACUGACACUGAGGAGCGAAAGCGUGGGGAGCGAACAGG